AUACGAAGGGUGCAAGCGUUACUCGGAAUUACUGGGCGUAAAGCGUGCGUAGGCGGUUGUUUAAGUCUGUCGUGAAAGCCCUGGGCUCAACCUGGGAAUGGCGAUGGAAACUGGGCGACUAGAGUGUGGCAGAGGGUAGUGGAAUUCCUGGUGUAGCAGUGAAAUGCGUAGAGAUCAGGAGGAACAUCCGUGGCGAAGGCGACUGCCUGGGCCAACACUGACACUGAGGCACGAAAGCGUGGGGAGCAAACAGGAUUAGAUACCCUGGUAGUCCACGCCCUAAACGAUGCGAACUGGAUGUUGGGUGCAAUUUGGCACGCAGUAUCGAAGCUAACGCGUUAAGUUCGCCGCCUGGGGAGUACGGUCGCAAGACUGAAACUCAAAUGAAUUGACGGGG
rnacentral:rRNA from 1 species